AUGGCAUGGAUUCCAGUAUUCCUCUUGCUCGUCUUUCACUGCACAGGUUCCCUGUCCCAGCUUGUGGUGACCCAGCCGCCCUCCCUCUCUGCAUCCCUGGGAUCAUCCGCCAGACUCACCUGCACCCUGAGCAGUGGCUUCAGUGUUGGCAGUUAUUCUGUAACUUGGUUCCAGCAGAAGCCAGGGAGCCCUCUCUGGUACCUCCUGUACUACCACUCAGACUCAGAUAAGCACCAGGGCUCCAGGGUCCCCAGCCGCUUCUCUGGAUCCAAGGACACCUCGGCCAAUGCAGGGCUCCUGCUCAUCUCUGGGCUGCAGCCUGAGGAUGAGGCUGACUACUACUGUUUACUGUGGCCA